rnacentral:rRNA from 1 species
AUUCCGGUUGAUCCUGCCGGAGGCCAUUGCUAUUGGGAUCCGAUUUAGCCAUGCUAGUUGUACGAGUUUAGACUCGUAGCGAAUAGCUCAGUAACACGUGGCCAAACUACCCUUCGGACCACAAUACCCUCGGGAAACUGAGGCUAAUAGUGGAUCACACACUCACACUGGAAUGUCGAGUGUGUCAAACGCUCCGGCGCCGAAGGAUGUGGCUGCGGCCGAUUAGGUAGACGGUGGGGUAACGGCCCACCGUGCCAAUAAUCGGUACGGGUCAUGAGAGUGAGAACCCGGAGACGGAAUCUGAGACAAGAUUCCGGGCCCUACGGGGCGCAGCAGGCGCGAAACCUUUACACUGCACGCCAGUGCGAUAAGGGGAUCCCAAGUGCGUAGGCAUAGAGCCUACGCUUUUGUCCACCCUAGGGAGGUGGACGAAUAAGGGCUGGGCAAGACCGGUGCCAGCCGCCGCGGUAAUACCGGCAGCCCGAGUGAUGGCCGAUCUUAUUGGGCCUAAAGCGUCCGUAGCU